GGUGGGGUUCCCGAGUGGUCAAAGGGAACAGACUGUAAAUCUGUCGGCGAACGCCUUCGGAGGUUCAAAUCCUCCCCCCACCACCA
rnacentral:tRNA from 1 species